rnacentral:miRNA from 1 species
GGAUCUUAGCUGGCUGGAUACAUGGAUGAACCACUGUACAUAUACCUUUACAUAUAUCCACGGCUGUACAUACUGCUCACAGCUUGAGCAAGCACAUUGCCAUCUACACACAAAAAUACCAGCGAUCUGUAGAUGAG